ACUCCUGCGGGAGGCAGCAGUGGGGAAUUUUGGACAAUGGGCGAAAGCCUGAUCCAGCAAUGCCGCGUGAGUGAAGAAGGCCUUCGGGUUGUAAAGCUCUUUUGUCAGGGAAGAAACGGUGAAAGCUAAUAUCUUUUGCUAAUGACGGUACCUGAAGAAUAAGCACCGGCUAACUACGUGCCAGCAGCCGCGGUAAUACGUAGGGUGCAAGCGUUAAUCGGAACUACUGGGCGUAAAGCGUGCGCAGGCGGUUUUGUAAGUCUGAUGUGAAAUCCCCGGGCUCAACCUGGGAAUUGCAUUGGAGACUGCAAGGCUAGAAUCUGGCAGAGGGGGGUAGAAUUCCACGUGUAGCAGUGAAAUGCGUAGAUAUGUGGAGGAACACCGAUGGCGAAGGCAGCCCCCUGGGUCAAGAUUGACGCUCAUGCACGAAAGCGUGGGGAGCAAACAGGAUUGGAAACCCUUGUAGACCCAUGAU
rnacentral:rRNA from 1 species